rnacentral:tRNA from 2 species
GGGGGGCUGGCGCAACGGCAGCGCGUGAGAUUCCAGACCUCAAGGUUAUCUGUUCGAAUCAGGUGUCCCUCA